UAGGGAAUCUUCGGCAAUGGGGGGAACCCUGACCGAGCAACGCCGCGUGAGUGAAGAAGGUUUUCGGAUCGUAAAGCUCUGUUGUUAAGGAAGAACGAGUGUGAGAAUGGAAAGUUCAUGCUGUGACGGUACUUAACCAGAAAGGGACGGCUAACUACGUGCUAGCAGCCGCGGUAAUACGUAGGUCCCGAGCGUUGUCCGGAUUUAUUGGGCGUAAAGCGAGCGCAGGCGGUUAGAAAAGUCUGAAGUGAAAGGCAGUGGCUCAACCAUUGUAGGCUUUGGAAACUGUUUAACUUGAGUGCAGAAGGGGAGAGUGGAAUUCCAUGUGUAGCGGUGAAAUGCGUAGAUAUAUGGAGGAACACCGGUGGCGAAAGCGGCUCUCUGGUCUGUAACUGACGCUGAGGCUAGAAAGCGUGGGGAGCGAACAGG
rnacentral:rRNA from 1 species